CCGGACCUUUCCGUGUCAUUCUUGGUGAACAUGACCUCAACAGCUCAGUGACAGAGAGCAGAUCAUAGCUGUCAGUGCCAUUUAUGUCCACCCCCAAUGGGAUGCUAACAAACUGUCUCAGGGGAAUGAUAUCGCUCUGCUGAAACUGGCCUCAGACGCCACCCUGAACAAUUAUGUCCAGCUGGGCUCUCUGCCUCCCUCUGGCCAGAUUCUGCC